GUUUCCGUAGUGUAGUGGUUAUCACGUGUGCUUCACACGCACAAGGUCCUGGGUUCGAACCCCAGCGGAAACA
rnacentral:tRNA from 1 species